rnacentral:lncRNA from 1 species
CUCUUUUAAGGAUGUGUAAUUUGGGGGGAGGGGGGACAUAUUUCGCGGGGGCCUGGAGAAACCUGCAUAUAUAUGCAUGGUUUAACUAAUAAGUGCACGUCAUAGAGCAGCAGAUCAGGCCCGUAACUAGGAUUCUGAGACAACCGAGUCGAGCACCGAAGGUACGAGCCGUCUUGAGGGGUCCGGUCUGGGGCCAUCCCCCAGAAAAUUUUAGAUUUAUUGAAUCUCAGAUAGGCUAUUUCCAGCAUUUUAAGGAGUGUUCCAACAAGAAAUCAACCUUAUAAAUAGUGACACAAUGUAAUCCAGUCCCACUAAGCCAUCACAUCAUGCGGUAAUGAAAAU